rnacentral:piRNA from 1 species
UCACGAUUGAAGUUCAAACGAGGUUGC